rnacentral:rRNA from 1 species
UACGUAGGGUGCAAGCGUUGUCCGGAAUUAUUGGGCGUAAAGAGCUCGUAGGCGGUCUGUUGCGUCGGCUGUGAAAACCCGGGGCUCAACUCCGGGCCUGCAGCCGAUACGGGCAGACUAGAGUUCGGCAGGGGAGACUGGAAUUCCUGGUGUAGCGGUGAAAAUGCGCAGAUAUCAGGAGGAACACCGGUGGCGAAGGCGGGUCUCUGGGCCGAUACUGACGCUGAGGAGCGAAAGCGUGGGGAGCGAACAGG